UACGUAGGGCGCAAGCGUUGUCCGGAAUUAUUGGGCGUAAAGAGCUCGUAGGUGGUUUGUCGCGUCUGUUGUGAAAGCCCGGGGCUUAACCCCGGGUCUGCAGUGGAUACGGGCAGGCUAGAGGCAGGUAGGGGAGAACGGAAUUCCCGGUGUAGCGGUGAAAUGCGCAGAUAUCGGGAGGAACACCGGUGGCGAAGGCGGUUCUCUGGGCCUGUACUGACGCUGAGGAGCGAAAGCGUGGGGAGCGAACAGG
rnacentral:rRNA from 1 species